GCCCGUGUGGCUCAAUGGUAGAGUACGUCAUUCGUAAUGAUGUGAUUGGGGGUUCGAAUCCCCCCGCGGGCU
rnacentral:tRNA from 4 species